GACGAACCGAGCGAACGUUAUUCGGAAUCACUGGGCUUAAAGGGCGCGUAGGCGGGCGAUCAAGUCAGGGGUGAAAGCCCCCAGCUCAACUGGGGAAGUGCCUCUGAUACUGGUCGCCUCGAGGGAGGUAGGGGCAUGCGGAACUUCCGGUGGAGCGGUGAAAUGCGUAGAUAUCGGAAGGAACGUCGGUGGCGAAAGCGGCGCGCUGGACCUCUUCUGACGCUGAGGCGCGAAAGCCAGGGGAGCGAACGGG
rnacentral:rRNA from 1 species